CUGGCACAUAGUAAACAUUUAAUAAAUACUGGUUUUCUUCCUUUCUUCCUUCUGAUAUGAAGCUUUGAAUACAUUUUCCCAAAGAAAUAAUACCAAAAAAUGAUAAUUACAUCUCUAGGACAAGUUACAAAAGUGUAUUCGAUCCAUAAUGGGCUUAAUGGAUGGUACUAUAUACCCAUAGUACUAUGAAACCUGAAAACCAUGUACAACAGUGUUCCUAUGGAAAAGUGCAUUCAGUUGCAUGUAGAAAUACCAGGAAUACAACUCUGAUACUUCUGCAGGAGAGCUGGAGUCUGUUCCUCCAGUCUGCCAAUCCAGUAAGCAUUGAUCUACCUGCUUUACUUACAUGCUUUGUGCUCAACCAAACAGUGGGACCAGGAUUUCCUUCAACUCCAAGCCAGUGGCGGUGGUUUUACAGCAUGUGACUGAAAUCCCCAACUGGACAGGCCUCAAGACGCUUUUGAAAGUCCUUGACUUCAAAGGCUGCCCUUAUGGAAGAAGAUAAGAAUUGGGCACACAAGGAUUAAAUAAAAUGAAGAUUAAAUAAAUCUGAAAGAAGACAGACAUUGAAAGACUCUUAGAAAAAGAUAUGCCAACAUCUAAAAGAAAAGGAGAAAGCUUUCUGUCCAGAAUGCUGCCAAAGUAUUGUGACUAGAAAAUAAAGCCUUAAUGUGCAGUGACA